AGGGGAAAAAAAUAAGAGAGGAAAAUUGGCAUAGCUAGGGAUUUUAUCCCUUGAAAUCUUGUUCCAAAAUUAAUUCUUCUAAUAUUCCAAGCAAGUUGAAGGCCCUAACCAACAUAGAGAGAUUUUUGGAACAAGAAGACUAUUCAUUCUUGCAAGGCACAAUUCUAGCAAGUUGAAGAACUAAGUGGAAAAGAUUUUGGAAAGGCCAAGAGUUAGGUGUGGUGACUAAGGAAGCGGACAAGGUACACCCAGACAAGUAGAAGUUACCAUAGAAGAUGUUGCAGCAGGGUUAGCAACUCCACUUGUUCCUGGAGUGCUGCCGAGUCAGAGUAUAUGUGCUAUGAUGUUUCAUUCGAAGUUAGAGACUUUGCAGACAGAGUCGUGGGUAUAGAGUGUCAGCUUUGUAAGCGGUGUCACCAGCCGAUAUGUUAUUAUGUCGUAUGUCAUGAGUUUAUGAGAUGAUAGAUUUUGGAUAGCAAGAUUCGGAAAGCGUAGCUAUGUUUUUCAUUUCUUUUUGAUGCAAAAUUUUAAAGAGAUUGAGUAUGUACUAUGAGUUAGCGGGUUCGCUCGGCUCCGAGCACGGGGUCGGGUGCCCAUCACACCCUGUGGAGAUCAGGGUGUGAUAGUAACUGUGUUCAUCACCUUCACAGUUGCCUUGACGACUUUUUGAAUUUGAACUAUUUGGUGAUGAUUCGAGGUACCUGCUUUGGCUGGGAAGCUUCACAACACCCUUAGGGAUAUUUUGACAUUGGUCUUGCAAUAAUUGGUUCGCUGGAGCUCCAG